rnacentral:misc_RNA from 1 species
UACGAGAGGGGUAAGCAUUAUUCAUCAUUAAUGGGUCUAAAGGGUACGUAGGCUGUAUCAUAAGACUGAAAGGUAUCGAACUAAAUGAAUAAGAGCUUUUCAGUAACUAUGAAACUAGAGUGUAAUGGAGGAAAGAGGAACUCCGAGAGUAGGGAUGGAAUCUGUUGAUCCCCGGAAGACCGCUUAAGGCGAAGGCUUCUUUCUAACUAAACACUGACGCUGAGGUACGAAAGUAUGGGGAGCAAAACGG